rnacentral:rRNA from 1 species
AGCUUGCUAGAUUGAUGGCGAGUGGCGAACGGGUGAGUAAUACAUCGGAACGUGCCCUGUAGUGGGGGAUAACUAGUCGAAAGAUUAGCUAAUACCGCAUACGACCUGAGGGUGAAAGUGGGGGACCGCAAGGCCUCAUGCUAUAGGAGCGGCCGAUGUCUGAUUAGCUAGUUGGUGGGGUAAAGGCCCACCAAGGCGGCGAUCAGUAGCUGGUCUGAGAGGACGAUCAGCCACACUGGGACUGAGACACGGCCCAGACUCCUACGGGAGGCAGCAGUGGGGAAUUUUGGACAAUGGGGGCAACCCUGAUCCAGCAAUGCCGCGUGUGUGAAGAAGGCCUUCGGGUUGUAAAGCACUUUUGUCCGGAAAGAAAUCGCACUUACUAAUAUUAGGUGUGGAUGGCGGUACCGGAAGAAUAAGGACCGGCUAACUACCGUGCCAGCAGCCGCGGUAAUACGUUAGGGUCCAAGCGUCAAUCGGAAUUACUGGGCGUAAAGCGUGCGCAGGCGGUUGUGCAAGAGCGAUGUGAAAUCCCCGGGCUUCAACCUGGGAAUUGCAUUGGUGAUUGCACGGCUAGAGUGUGUCAGAGGGGGGUAGAAUCCACGUGUAGCAGUGAAAUGCGUAGAGAUGUGGAGGAAUACCGAUGGCGAAGGCAGCCCCCUGGGAUAACACUGACGCUCAUGCACGAAAGCGUGGGGAGCAAACAGGAUUAGAUACCCUGGCUAGUCCACGCCCUAAACGAUGUCAACUAGUUGUUGGGGAUUCAUUUCCUUAGUAACGUAGCUAACGCGUGAAGUUGACCGCCUGGGGAGUACGGUCGCAAGAUUAAAACUCAAAGGAAUUGACGGGGACCCGCACAAGCGGUGGAUGAUGUGGAUUAAUUCGAUGCAACGCGAAAAACCUUACCUACCCUUGACCUGCCACUAACGAAGCAGAGAUGCAUUAGGUGCUCGAAACAGAAAGUGGACACAGGUGCUGCAUG